rnacentral:lncRNA from 1 species
GCUCGUGGUCCUGGCUCUGCAGACGUAUAUCAUGUGCGAGGCGGCACUCUUUUGCGAGGCCAAUAGACGCCCGUACGUUUGGAUGUCCUGGAGCUUCAGCUGUUUCCUGAGCGCGGCACACCUCGGCUUCAUCGUCACCUGGAUCGUCGCUGCCGCCACGGACAACGUGCGGUGGAUGACUAUAGGUGUUAGAGGCGUUGCGGUACGACUUGUGGGUGUCGUCGUCUACUGCUCGAUUAACGCC